rnacentral:rRNA from 1 species
CCCUUAGAUGUUCUGGGCCGCACGCGCGCUACACUGACGAAUGCAACGAGCUUAUAACCUUGGCCGAAAGGUCUGGGUAAUCUCCAAAUUUCGUCGUGAUGGGGAUAGAUUAUUGCAAUUAUUAAUCUUCAACGAGGAAUGCCUAGUAAGCGCAAGUCAUCAGCUUGCGUUGAUUACGUCCCUGCCCUUUGUACACACCGCCCGUCGCUCCUACCGAUUGAAUGGUCCGGUGAAGCGUUCGGACCGUGGCCUUUGGACGGUUCGCCGUCUGUUGGCUGCGGGAAGUUCGUUAAACCUUAUCACCUAGAGGAAGGAGAAGUCGUAACA